AGCCCACCACGGGCCACGGUGGUCUGAUAAAGAUGAGCCACAGAAGCACAGGGCCAUAGUGACAAAAGGAAUACUGGCAGCAUCAAAAUGACCACCAGAGAGAAAACCUACGUCACGAACUGAGGCGACAGGAUGCGCUCUGACUGAUCACCCAACCCACAGCUUAAGACACAUCUCCUGAAAUAGCAACGCCACUCAGAAUCAAGCUACAGUUUUGAGUUGACAAGUUCAAGGCAGAGACGGUGGCCUUUCAUCUUCUAUAAACCCGUGUGACCAGCAGUUACUAAGUAACAAAACUUCCUCGCAGAAGAACAACUCAAAGACUCCUGCCUGAAAAUGAAGACACCAGAUUGCUUCAAGCUGUGAAGGCUAAAAGGAGUUAUGGUCUAGG
rnacentral:lncRNA from 1 species